rnacentral:rRNA from 1 species
UACGUAGGGGGCAAGCGUUGUCCGGAUUUAUUGGGCGUAAAGAGCGUGUAGGCGGCCAUGCAGGUCCGUUGUGAAAACUCGAGGCUCAACCUCGAGACGCCGGUGGAAACCGUGUGGCUAGAGUCCGGAAGAGGAGAGUGGAAUUCCUGGUGUAGCGGUGAAAUGCGCAGAUAUCAGGAAGAACACCCGUGGCGAAGGCGGCUCUCUGGGACGUGAC